rnacentral:rRNA from 1 species
UACGUAGGGGGCAAGCGUUGUCCGGAAUCAUUGGGCGUAAAGCGCACGUAGGCGGCCCUGUAAGUCCGUUGUGAAAGUCAAAGGCUCAACCUUUGAAUGCCGAUGGAUACUGCAGGGCUGGAGUCCGGAAGAGGCGAGUGGAAUUCCUGGUGUAGCGGUGGAAUGCGCAGAUAUCAGGAGGAACACCAAUAGCGAAGGCAGCUCGCUGGGACGGUACUGACGCUAAGGUGCGAAAGCGUGGGGAGCGAACAGG